UCAAAUGAAGUGAAGCUCCACAUAGAGUCACAGGAAAAAAAAAAAGGCAGCAGACAGGACAACUACCUCCAUAAAUAAUCUAAAAUGUAAUUUUCUACCAUGCUGCAGGCAGGAGACGUGUAUGGCUGGGGCUGUGGAAUGGGAUCUCAGUGGCUGUGACAAAGCAGAGACAGAAGAACCAACAACCCAGCCUCCUCUGUCUUGGUCAUAUUUAACCUUUAUUUACUGAUUCCGCCUAUAAAUGGGAAGGAAAACAUUUUCCAGUCAACUCGUGCCACUAGAAGAGAGGAAAGAUCGAGGCCAAAAUGGGAAUGGAGAAGGGAGCACAAUUCUCUGCUUUGCUGUUACAAAUGGGAGUUUCCUGACAUGUCCACAAGACCUGUAACGAAGCUUGAGGCCUGAAGUCUGCCUGUCCAGCGUAGCGCAAGGCACAUCAAACUCAGCUUUCUGCCAAAGGGGGCCCACUGUGACAAAGAAAAACGUCUACCCAUCUCCUGCAAGAAUGAGAAAACUGAGAAUUUACUUGGUGGAGUCGCUGUCUUACAUCUGCAGUGUGUGCACGCAGGCUGGAAGAGCGGUGCUGCCAGGUAGCCUACUGGGUGUCCGCGCACUGCUGCAGCAGCUCGCCACUCGGUUCUCAGCACACACGCACAUGAAAAACCAUUUUCUCCUUCAGUAUUUACAACCAACCGCUCCGUUACCCACAUCCUGUUGACAGGAGAAACAAUGGAAGGCUCCUCAUAGCUUAUUACUCAUAAAACCUGACUCGUUCAGACAGAUCAUUUGCAGCUAGUGAACUCGAAGUGAUUACUUCUGACUGCAGUGUCCCUCAGAGCGUGAGGGCUGGGAGAGGUGGUGCUUCCAUUACUCCUCUUCAUUCACAUCUUUUUGGGCUUUAGUUCCCAGUUAGUUUCUUGGCUUUGAAUUUUUUGCUAUGUUUUUCUUUCAGAUUAUUCGACUCAUUCAGCUCCAAUAUUCUUUCGGCACAUGUAGAAAAAUUACUGUUAUCAAAAGCUGGUUCAGUUCAGCCAGUUCUCGUUCCAGAUGUUCAGAUGGUAAUUCCAUCACUUCAGAGAUUUUAUGUUCCCUUAAAACUUUAACAGCGAAUGCUUAUGGUUUUCACCUUAGAUGUUAUGAAACUCAUCUUUAAAAUUAUAUUGUCUCAAUAGCCCAUGGAAGAAUGUCACACUUGAUCUUAAAUAGGCUUAUCUCUAAGUAGGAUAUUGAUAUUACUAGUAAGUCCAGUUCAAGUGUUUGCAUAUGCAUACGUAAAAGCAUACGAAUAUACUUUAAAAGAAAACAAGAUUUUUCAAUGCCAUGUAGUCUGAAGUCCCGGCUUCCAGAGAUGAAGGGGAACAUUUAUGUUUGCAAAAUACCUGCCAAAAGAUAAUGGGUUCUCCUGGCUCGUGCUCUAUCUUAAAUGUGAAAGCACCGUUCCUCAGACGCCUAAGAUGGACUGAAGCUUCUUUUGAAUGUUCCUUGUAUUUGUUUUGUAUAUGAAUUAAAGACCUCAUAUCUGAAUGUAAUGACAUUUGGGGUUGAAUUUUAGGGUGGCUUAUGUAGGAAUAUAGCAGUGCUGUAUGCAGCUUUACAAGAAACCAUCUGAGGAGGGGGGAAUGGGAGGAUACGUUAUUUGGAAAUACUGAAAUGGUUCUUACUUGAACCCAGGAUUAGCAGAAAUGGGGCACAGAUGGUAAGAAGAAACAAGAAUAACUUUGAUCGUGUAAAUUUGAAACUUGCUGUGAGAACUAUUUCAAAAUAGUUAUUUUAGGAACCAAAGACAUUACUGUAGAAAAUGGAUGUAGGUGUUCUCACUGAAGCAGAUUUUCUGUGCUCGUUACCUGAAUGGAAGGGGAACUGUUUCUUUAAAGAUGUUAACAGAAGUUUUUGGCACAGAGACAAAAGCCCCACAGCAAGGCCACUGGUGCAGAAUCCCGGCCCUGCUGUCUGUGCAUUAGCAAAUUGUGCAUUAAUUAGCUGAUAGGGCUCACAAAACCGCUUUGUGGAACAGCGUUUAGCCAAUGAGGAGCAACAGCCACCUGUAUUUUCGUGAAGCCAAGCUGCCAGAGGAGGUGUGCCUCCCACCUUCAGCGAGAUUAGGCUGAGAGUGUAAUUAAUCUUGUCUGAAAUGCACCUUGGCCAUUGGCUUCUCCAAACUUUGUUUUCUUGUAAUGUUUUCUUUGCCUUACUUUUUCUUUUGCACAGGUUUAGCUUUUUAUCGUUCACCAGCCUGCUUGUUUCUGCAAGACAAUUCCACCCCUGUAUUUGUCACAGUGAAGGAGCUGCAGCAGGAGAGCUGAGAGGCACAAAGAAGGCCCAGCUCAAUGAGAAGGAGUGCUCCUGUGGCCUGGCACAGCUUCUGUGCUGCUCUGCUUGCCCCUAUGCGUACAUCCCAGCACAGCCUUCUUUCUCUCUUGUUCAGCACUGCUUAUCAGACUGAAAGUUGAACAACCAACCACGUAUUCCCACGAAAUGGCUCAACACCUAUAUUCUGGUUUUAAUACUAACUUCCUUGCCUCCUGUUCUUGGAAUAUUUCAUGUCAUGAAAAUCCUUGGUAUUCAUCUUUUUAUCUCAAAUGCAUCGAUAUUCUCUGAAUAUCAAAAGCAAUGCUUUGUCUGGGAUGGAUGCUAAAACGCGUGACCAGCCUUAAUGAAGACAAUGCCAAAUAAACGCAAUUCAG
ensembl:lncRNA